GUUAAUCUACCCCUUUCUUAGUCUCUAAUCUCUUAAUCUCUCAAAGUCUCUUUGUUUCUGAUUCAAGUUCAUACUAGUUUCAUCAGACCUCUCAUUCAACUAGUUCAAGACCUUAUCUUUGCCUUUAAUGGCUUUUCUUACACAUACACAGCCAGAGCUCUCAAAUCUCAUAUGGUAUCAGAGCCAGGUUCAUCAGAACCUGAGCUGAGCUUCCGCAAAUCCACAGCUCUCAUCUCAGCUCAAACCAAACCCUUGAAGUCAUAUCCAUCCGAGUUCAGCUCUUGAAGAAGAAGAGACUUGAAGCCAUGGAGUGUUAUCCUGUCC
rnacentral:lncRNA from 1 species